UGUACAAGCAGCCUGCAUUCAAAUCCUGUUUCUGCCACUUGCUCUCCAUGAGACUUUGACUCCAUGAGAUUUCCACAUCAGAAAGUAUGUGUUAAGAAUGUUCACCCAUAGAGAUUCUAGAAGAAGUGAUUGUAUCAAGCUUCUAGGGUAUGCUUUGCUCUGGAUACGUGAGGUGCAUAAAUCAAUCGGAAAAUUGAAAGUUUAAACAUGGUGUUACAGUUUAGGGACCAAGCACCUAGGACAAUGUGACCAUCUUUGAAGACCUGACUUCUCAACUGAUGAUGCUUUCCCAAGGCAUGAAGACAGUUUCAAUGGAGUUACUCUAUAACGAGGCAACAGUACCCAUCCUUGACAACACAGCCAAGCAGAUAAAACAUCCAAGGCCAGGAUGGGCUAUCUCUUUUGAAAUUGCUGCUAGUGAGGUCCCAUAGACCCUCCUGCAAACAUCACAGGUUAUGACCUACUCUUGGGUACCGUCCAGAAUUCAACAGUAAGACACCAUUGCUGAGGAGAGCACAAGUUUGAGUAAUGUAGGACAUGGAUAAAUUGAACUGUUUUUCAUCUGGAAGCUUCAUCUUCCUGGAUAACUGUCAUAGGAUUAGAAGGUGCUUUGUAUGCUACCAAGAGAAAAGCAAUGAUCAGUUUAUCUGUGAGAACCGCAGGUACAGUAAUGAAAAGACAGAUCCUCUGCAUUAUCUUCAAGUCCCGAAGACUGCCUUCUGUUUGACUCAGUCUACUUGUAAGACGUUGAGUAUUCUAGUGGAGAAAAGAAAAGGAUGAGGAGAAGAUGAAGAGCCAACUCUCUUCACUUCCUUCCCCAAGAGUAAAAUAAUAAUAUCUUCACAUAACUCUA